AAUAGCCUAAAGGCAAGAAAAUAUGAUAUAUUGUUUAUAUUUAGGAUGUCUGUGAAUAUAUUUAAGAGCUGUUAGCAUUGCAUUUGCUUCUGCUGUGAAUAUUGAGCUGUCAUCAGAUAGUCUGGAGGAUAUUGUUCUGGAUCCAAUGACAGUGGCACAAGCAACUUCCACCAUCCUUGGACCCAUCUGUAAAAAUGGAUUUGUAUGUAUUAUAUUUACUCUUUAAUUAAUUAUAUUCUUGUUUAUAUUGUACUUCAUUAGUUUCUGAUUUCUUAAACUUUAUCAAUGUUAGGCCAACCUUUGGCCUCCCUAAUUGCUAAGGAGAAGAAAGAAGACGGGAAGGAGCUAUAUUUUCCAGCUCAAUGCCGGCAGCAGAAAUGAAUGGUUUAAUUCGGAACAUGAGGAGACUAUUUGUUGUACAAAUCGUCACAGGGAGGUUUAAAGACACAGUUAAUAGCAGGGUUAGACUCGUUAGAAUAAAGUUUUGCUAUAUACUGCAAGGAUAAUUUUAUAAAUGUCGUGCCUGCAAACUGUGUAUUUUACAACUUGUCGGGGACGAAUACCAUUACUUGCUUGUAGAGUUAUAUAAAUACAUUUUACUAUGGAAAACGAAAUUAUAAUAAGCUACAAUUGUUACUACGAACGCUUGCAGAAAACUAUAUUCAUAUCUUAUAUCUGUGAUAAUCUGUUAAAUAUGUAGUUUAUCACACUAAGGGCACAGUCUAUAAUAUGUCAAAUAUGUAAAUGUAAUUUUCAUGUACCAUGGUGACUGGUUAAAAUGACAUAAAGCUUGAUUGAAUAAACCCUGAACAGUCAGUGGGUAUGAUAAACUUCUAUUUAAUCCAUGUGACGUAGGUGUAAGUAAUUUGUAUAACACUUACUUUAAACAUGAUCACAACUUUAAUAAAAGUAUUGAAAGACGUCACGUCAGAUGCAGUUGCAUUAAUAUAAAGCAUCAUGUAUAUCAACAAUGUGAACUCAAAUAGAACAAAAGGUGUGUGAAAUAGUAAAGCAUGUACAGUCCUCCUGGCACAAACAUCGGAGAGACAUUAAAACAGGGGAUCCCUGGGAAAAAGAGAAACUGAAAGAAGUAGUGGUAAAAUCCUUCCUAAAUUUACACAAAAGUUACAAGCUUUGUGAAUAUCAUCUGUACAAAAUGUUUACUUCACAAAUUGUAAAUCUUGGUAAACCGCCAUUUUUUUCUUGUGCAAGUCAUGGAACUGGUUGGAUAGGAUUCUUACAUAGUCCCACAUGACGAUCAGUUUAGGGCAGCUCAUAUGUGGUCACAGAUGGCUGAUUUCUAGUCAAUGUAUUUCUCUGUUCUAUGUAACUAAGAUCCAAAAGAAACGAUACCACCUGUUUGAAAGGACAUUCCAGAAACACAAAACCAUACAGAAAUUUUAGAUGGGUAUAUUUCAUUUGAGAAAUUUUUCAUGAACACAUGUUUACGAAACAUCAUUUCAAUCAAUCCUUUACAAUCAUUAGGACAGGCCUGUAAAGAUGUGAGGGGUCCAAAAUGAAUAUUUCUUUCAAACAAUGCGUUGUAAAUGUCACAAUAGACGUCUCACGUUAGUACUGGGUAUGUCCAUCGUGAGCGUCAAUACACGCCACUACACGUCUACGGGCUGAUGUGUUGCCAUUCAUUAAGGAGGCAUUGUUCCAAUUCCCGAAGGUUGACUGGAGGAACAAGGCGAUAUCUGAGUUGGCGAUCGAGAUGGUCCCAUAAAUCUUCGACUGGGUUCACAUCCGAUGAAUAUGCCGCCCACGGUAAAACGUGAAUGUUGGCGUGAGCGACGAAAGUCUGAGAAAUCACUGAGAGUCACCAAAGUUAGAUGAGGAGGUAUUUCAAGAAUGCCUGGGAAAUUAUAGAAAUUCUGAUGCUGUAUUGAUUUCCUUUACCAGAAUACGGCUAAAUAUUCGCCAUUUUCUCGAAAGUCGCUUUUAAUAACAAAGUAUGUAUUAUUCUAUGUUACCCGUGAGUGUAGAAUGUUUAUCAUCCAUUGUUUACCUCAUCCAUUGUUUAUUAUGUCACUAAAUGAUUACUCCAGGCCGUUGGAACCAUAGUUGUCUUCAAUGAUAUUUCUUAGCAGCUUUGACAUUUCAAACUCUUUAUCUUAAUUCACUCUUCUAAA